rnacentral:rRNA from 1 species
AUUGAACGCUGGCGGCAGGCCUAACACAUGCAAGUCGAGCGAGCGGCGGACGGGUGAGUAAUGUAUGGGGACUGCCCGAUAGAGGGGGAUAACUACUGGAAACGGUGGCUAAUACCGCAUACUAUCGGAUAACCCAUAUGGGAUUAGCUAGUAGGUGGGGUAAAGGCUCACCUAGGCGACGAUCUCUAGCUGGUCUGAGAGGAUGAUCAGCAACACGGGGACUGAUAACCGGCCCAGACUUCUACGGAGGCAGCAGUGGGUAAUAUGGCACAAUGGGCGCAAGCCUGAUGCAGCCAUGCCGAGUGUAGGAAGAAGGCCUUAGGGUUUUAAAGUACUUUCAGCGGGGAGGAGUUACCCGCAGAAGAAGCACCGGCUAACUCCGGGCCAGCAGCCGCGGUAAUUC